UUAUACCCUUUGAUGAGGAUUGAGGACUC
rnacentral:piRNA from 1 species